rnacentral:rRNA from 1 species
AGAGUUGAUCCUGGCUCAGGAUGAACGCUAGCGACAGGCUUAACACAUGCAAGUCGAGGGGCAGCAUAAAAGUAGCAAUACUUGGUGGCGACCGGCGCACGGGUGAGUAACGCGUAUGCAACCUACCUAUCAGAGGGGAAUAACCCGGCGAAAGUCGGACUAAUACCGCAUAAAACAGGGGCACCGCAUGGUGAUAUUUGUUAAAGAAAUUCGCUGAUAGAUGGGCAUGCGUUCCAUUAGGUAGUUGGUGAGGUAACGGCUCACCAAGCCGACGAUGGAUAGGGGAACUGAGAGGUUGGUCCCCCACACUGGUACUGAGACACGGACCAGACUCCUACGGGAGGCAGCAGUGAGGAAUAUUGGUCAAUGGGCGAGAGCCUGAACCAGCCAAGUCGCGUGAAGGAAGAAGGAUCUAUGGUUCGUAAACUUCUUUUGCAGGGGAAUAAAGUGCAGGACGUGUCCUGUUUUGUAUGUACCCUGAGAAUAAGGAUCGGCUAACUCCGUGCCAGCCGCAGC